rnacentral:rRNA from 1 species
UACGAAGGGAGCUAGCGUUGUUCGGAAUCACUGGGCGUAAAGCGCACGUAGGCGGAUGUGUCAGUCAGGGGUGAAAUCCCGGAGCUCAACUUCGGAACUGCCUUUGAUACAGCACGUCUUGAGUCCGAUAGAGGUGGGUGGAAUUCCUAGUGUAGAGGUGAAAUUCGUAGAUAUUCGGAAGAACACCAGUGGCGAAGGCGACUUACUGGACACAUAUUGACGCUGAGGUGCGAAAGCGUGGGGAGCAAACAGG